AUCCAGCUGACGAGUGCCACGUAGGACGAAACGCGCGUCCUGGAU
rfam:Schistosoma mattheei strain Denwood, Zambia genome assembly, scaffold: SMTD_scaffold0000226